rnacentral:lncRNA from 1 species
CGCAAACAUUUUGACGGGUUUGGCUUUGCCCGACUGGAUUACUGAGUGUCCCCUCGCUCGCUCGCUCGCUCUCUCGCUCUCUCCUUCAGCUCUAGCUUCCUUCCUUCCCUCGCUUCUUCGCCUCUUUUCUUUCCACUAGUUCUUUCUUUUCCCCUUUUAUCCUUUUGCCCUCUCACCCACCGUCUCCCCCUCUCUCUCUCGCUAUCCCUUCCUUCCUUAUUUCUUCCCUCCCUUCCUCCCUGGGCAUCUCUAGCACAGGGGAUCCCCAAAUAUCAGGACUUUUGGGGGGCGUCUGUGCUGUCCAUGGGAAGAGCAUGCAUUGUGGGUUACUGGAGGAACCCGACAUGGAUUCCACAGGUUAGUCCUGGUGGGACUUGGAGGGGGGUCAUUGGAGGGGGGAGGAAGGAGAAGGGACAGGGCGGGGGUCACUUCAGAAAGAGUUGCAGAAAGUUCAGGCGGGGCAACCUGACAGUGGGAUCCCAGGAGAGGAGGAGAGCGUGCAGAAGUUUUCGGUCCAGCGCUAAGUGUGUAAGUGGAUGCAUGGAAGUGUGUGUGAGUGUAAAUGCGUGUGUGCGCGUGCGCGCACUCUGAGGCGCGCGCUUUCACUUGGACAUAAAGUUGCAUAAAGAUGCUCGCUGGCUCGCGGCGAGCUCGAGGUGUUUAUGCUACUUGCAAGAGCUUUGCGAGCAAGCCGCCCCGCCCGGACCCGGCGGCGGCCCUGGCUUUGGCUAGGGUAGUGGUAUGCUUAGGAUCUGGGGUGAGGGCCCCGAACGCUCCAAAGGCGGAGGAGGGCGACGGCGUACCGCGUCUCACCGCGCACUGGAGGCUCUUGCUUCUGGAAUCUCGCUGCAGGGAGGGAGUGGCGGCGGCGAACCCGGUGGUCCUGGGGCUUUAGUAGCUUUGGGCUAGGAGAGAUGGGCCCCUAGGACUGUAGUCUCCCGGCCGCGAAGACGCGACUCACUAGCCUCUCCACAGUGAGGCUGUAACCUUGCAAAAGGGGGGUGGGGGGAGCAGAAUGCAGAACAUAUGAAGAGGCCUGACACUGAGUUUUGUGAACCGGCCUGUAGUUUGAGGGCUGUGUGGUGGACAUCAGGCACUAGGGUCGCCACGGUUCACAAGGGAACACACGGAAUCUCUUACAACGAAAAUGCCCAGCAUCUUCUCCAGGCGAUCCGUUGGUCAACUUCUACGCCUAGCAUCUUUGGGGACCCGCCGCACUUCAAAUUCUGUUAUUUUUUUCUAUGUCCUUUCCAUGUAGUGGUUCUCAAAAAAACUUUACUCUCUCCGUUAGGCUCAGUCUCUCCACCAGGCCACUCCAAUCCCUGCUGGGCCGCAGCUUUGGAAUUUUGAGGGGUGGUAAGACCACAGCCUGGGCAUAGGCAGCAGCUUGACUGAAACCUGAGAGAAUGUGAGGGCAUUGCAGCUGAGCAACAAGUGCCUGCUGGCCUCAGCUGUGCCCUGACACACAUUAACUUACUUGCAAAUAACACCACAGUCAACUCUGCCCCCACUCCACCCACCCCUAGGGCAGGUUGUAAAAAGAUUAAGCUAUCUAGAUAUCUUCCCAGACCUUGUUCUUCUGUACUGGGAGGAAAGUUCCAGGCCUCUCUUGGCCUACAUUGCAGACCUGGUGGCUGAGACCGCUGGCCCAGGGGUAUCUGCGGCAUUCCAGGGUACGUUUUUUUUUCUGUCUCCGGUACAGUUAAACUCUCACGCUUUCCUGGGUGUCAGUGAGCUCCUGAGCAUAGCCGAAGCCCGAGCUUCUAAAGUCCAGCUUAGUUAGCGGGUGAGCACCUGCGGGGAGGCUAGAAGCGGUCUUCUCUGGAGAGCGGCACCCGGCUUAGGCCCGGUUGGGGUCUGUCUUCUGCACACGCUAGCAGUCCUGGUUCUGGAGAAGGAAGGGCCUUUGCUUCAAUAUUCUUUUAACUCAAGGAAAACCUCCUAAGAGCCACGGCUCGAAAAGUGAAUGGAUUUAACCAGAUUAAGCCCAUUUGUACAGAAUUAGCGGUCGAGUAUUUUCAAGGGGUCUGUACACGGUGUCGGGGGCCUUCCUCAUAUCCCAAAGCUGGCAUGUCCUAAAUGAGAUAUUACUUGAUCCCUCCACAGGACUAGAGUCCUUUGGGUGUUUGGUGAGGGGAGUCUUAGAAUUGUGGACACUUUCGAGGUUUAUCAGGUGGUUGGGUGAGCACGGACCACUUCCAUCCCAACUGCGAACACCCCAAAUGGGUUAUGAAACUCCAGCGCUCCUCUCUCAUACUAGGAUCUCUAGGAUAGAUAAUAUACCUAUCCUCUCCUCUCUCGUCUCUAGGAUAGAUAUAUAUCUCUCCUAGAUCACACUCCUGACCUCAAAAUCAAGAGUUUUGGUUAAUGGCAUCAAUUGAGAAGUCACUCCAGGCGCACCAGGUGACAUUUCACAUGCAAAACUCCGGACAAGCAAAGUGCCUAGGUCCGAUCCAGGAGCCCCCCUUCCAGAGAAUUAAUCCAAUUAGUCUUUCUUCUGGGUUUCUCUUGUUAUGUAAAAGGUUCAUUCCCCCCUCCCAGAGCCUGCAGAGCCCAGCGCUCCUCUGGGCAUUUCGAUUCUAUUCCCUUGGCGUAAGGUUGCGCUCCAGUAGAAACGCGAAAUCAGUGAUUUCAUUCUUAACCGGCUCAAACAACAGGCUCACAGCAGUCGCUGGAGCGAAGUCCAGAGAGCAUCCAUGUUCAGAGGGACCGGCAAGUCGAAGCAACAGUCUCUGUCUCUU